GAAGCGUCUGGAAAGGCGUGCGAUACAGGGUGACAGCCCCGUACACAAAAAUGCACAUAUUGUGAGCUUGAUGAGUAGGGCGGGACACGUGGUAUCCUGUCUGAAUAUGGGGGGACCAUCCUCCAAGGCUAAAUACUCCUGACUGACCGAUAGUGAACCAGUACCGUGAGGGAAAGGCGAAAAGAACCCCGGCGAGGGGAGUGAAAAAGAACCUGAAACCGUGUACGUACAAGCAGUGGGAGCACGCUUAGGCGUGUGACUGCGUACCUUUUGUAUAAUGGGUCAGCGACUUAUAUUCUGUAGCAAGGUUAACCGAAUAGGGGAGCCGAAGGGAAACCGAGUCUUAACUGGGCGUUAAGUUGCAGGGUAUAGACCCGAAACCCGGUGAUCUAGCCAUGGGCAGGUUGAAGGUUGGGUAACACUAACUGGAGGACCGAACCGACUAAUGUUGAAAAAUUAGCGGAUGACUUGUGGCUGGGGGUGAAAGGCCAAUCAAACCGGGAGAUAGCUGGUUCUCCCCGAAAGCUAUUUAGGUAGCGCCUCGUGAAUUCAUCUCCGGGGGUAGAGCACUGUUUCGGCAAGGGGGUCAUCCCGACUUACCAACCCGAUGCAAACUGCGAAUACCGGAGAAUGUUAUCACGGGAGACACACGGCGGGUGCUAACGUCCGUCGUGAAGAGGGAAACAACCCAGACCGCCAGCUAAGGUCCCAAAGUCAUGGUUAAGUGGGAAACGAUGUGGGAAGGCCCAGACAGCCAGGAUGUUGGCUUAGAAGCAGCCAUCAUUUAAAGAAAGCGUAAUAGCUCACUGGUCGAGUCGGCCUGCGCGGAAGAUGUAACGGGGCUAAACCAU
rnacentral:rRNA from 1 species